rnacentral:tRNA from 5 species
GCGGACGUGGCGGAAUCGGUAUACGCAGCAGACUUAAAAUCUGCCGGCCCAUGGUCUUGCGGGUUCAAGUCCCGCCGUCCGCACCA